CCUACGGGAGGCUGCAGUAGGGAAUAUUGCUCAAUGGGGGAAACCCUGAAGCAGCAACGCCGCGUGGAGGAUGAAGGUUUUCGGAUUGUAAACCCCUUUUGUUAGAGAAGAUAAUGACGGUAUCUAACGAAUAAGCACCGGCUAACUCCGUGCCAGCAGCCGCGGUAAUACGGAGGGUGCAAGCGUUACUCGGAAUCACUGGGCGGAAAGAGCGCGUAGGCGGGAUAGCAAGUCAGAUGUGAAAUCCUAUGGCUUAACCAUAGAACUGCAUUUGAAACUGUUAUUCUAGAGUAUGGGAGAGGUAGGUGGAAUUCUUGGUGUAGGGGUAAAAUCCGUAGAGAUCAAGAGGAAUACUCAUUGCGAAGGCGACCUGCUAGAACAUAACUGACGCUGAUGCGCGAAAGCGUGGGGAGCAAACAGGAUUAGAUACCCUAGUAGUC
rnacentral:rRNA from 1 species